CAGCCGCCGCGGUAAUACGGAGGGGGCUAGCGUUGUUCGGAAUUACUGGGCGUAAAGGGUGCGUAGGCGGUUGUUUAAGUCUGUUGUGAAAUCCCCGGGCUCAACCUGGGAAUGGCAAUGGAAACUGGACGGCUAGAGUGUGUCAGAGGAUGGUGGAAUUCCCGGUGUAGCGGUGAAAUGCGUAGAGAUCGGGAGGAACAUCAGUGGCGAAGGCGGCCAUCUGGGACAACACUGACGCUGAAGCACGAAAGCGUGGGGAGCAAACAGGAUUAGAUACCCCCGUAGUCCCUGUCUCUUAUAC
rnacentral:rRNA from 1 species